rnacentral:rRNA from 1 species
UACGUAGGGUGCAAGCGUUGUCCGGAAUUAUUGGGCGUAAAGGGCGCGUAGGCGGUCCGUCACGUCGGGUGUGAAAACUUGGGGCUUAACCCCAAGCCUGCUUCCGAUACGGGCGGACUAGAGGUAGGCAGGGGAGAGCGGAAUUCCUGGUGUAGCGGUGAAAUGCGCAGAUAUCAGGAGGAACACCGGUGGCGAAGGCGGUUCUCUGGGCCUUACCUGACGCUGAGGAGCGAAAGCGUGGGGAGCAAACAGG